CGCAACUUGCGCCCAUACUGGGUCAUUCCGUUGGGCAUGCCUGUUUGAGUGUCUUGAAACCAUCGACCAUUGCGGCAUCCGAUUUGGUCGGACUUGGGGGCUGUGCUGCCGUGGCUUCGGCCGAUGGCGGCUCCCCCGGAAAGCAUCGGCGUAAUCGGCAGUCCGACCGCGGCGUUGUAGAGCUUCGCCCCGAUCCUCUGUCGGCCGGCCUCCCUGAGGCGACCCCACCCGUAUGACCUCGGACCUCAGAUCAGGCAAGACUACCCGCCGAACUUAA
rnacentral:misc_RNA from 1 species